rnacentral:rRNA from 1 species
GUAGAGAUAUGGUUUUCCCUUCGGGGACAACGGUGACAGGUGGUGCAUGGUUGUCGUCAGUUCGUGUCGUGAGAUGUUGGGUUAAGUCCCGCAACGAGCGCAACCCUUGAUUUUAGUUGCCAUCAUUUAGUUGGGCACUCUAAGGUGACUGCCGGUGACAAACCGGAGGAAGGUGGGGAUGACGUCAAAUCAUCAUGCCCCUUAUGACUUGGGCUACACACGUGCUACAAUGGACGAUACAAACGGUUGCCAACUCGCGAGAGGGAGCUAAUCUGAUAAAGUCGUUCUCAGUUCGGAUUGUAGGCUGCAACUCGCCUCCAUGAAGCCGGAAUCGCUAGUAAUCGCGGAUCAGCAUGCCGCGGUGAAUACGUUCCCGGGCCUUGUACACACCGCCCGUCACACCACGAGAGUUUGUAACACCCGAAGUCGGUGGGGU